rnacentral:lncRNA from 1 species
GUCUGCUUUGGGUCUGGAUCCCUCAGGUGCCCGUUUGGUGACAGGAGGAUAUGACUCUGAUGUUAAGUUUUGGGAUUUUGCUGGAAUGGAUGCUUCUUUUAAGGCAUUUCAAUCCCUUCAGCCCUGAUGGUGAUUGCUCACACCAAAGCCUUGGACCCCUCCCAGCCUGUGACCUUUGUGACCAACUCCACCUACGCAGCAGACAAGGGGAUUUGGAGUCCAGCCUUCCAGACCUGAUCUUAUACACCAGCCUCGCUUUACAUCAUGCUGCAAAAUCCUCAGGUAAUU